AAGUCGUAACAAGGUUUCCGUAGGUGAACCUGCGGAAGGAUCAUUAAAAAAUCUCUAACGAGCCGCAAGGCUCUGCUAUUUUGUGAACCUGACAGUAAAGAAGGUUGGGAAAGGGGGAAGGAGGGAGGUCUUGCAUUUGGUCUUGGUCUUGCAUCUCGAUCGUGCGGGCCUUUCUUUGAACCCCUCCCCCACUUCUCUUUAUGGUAUUUAUAAUGUGUAUUGUUUUGAUGCUACGGAAUAAAUAUAUCUAAUAUAUAUACAACUUUCAACAGUGGAUCUCUCGGCUCUU
rnacentral:misc_RNA from 1 species